rfam:Oryza glaberrima chromosome 4 Oglab04_0217_3, whole genome shotgun sequence.
UUUAAGUAUAAUUAUGAGUUUUUUUUUUCAACGUUUGACCAUCCGUCUUAUUUGAUUUUUUAUGAUUAGUAUUUUUUAUUGUUUGUGUGACUUAUUUUUUUUAAUUUUUUCGUAAGUUUUCCAAAUAAGACGAAAGGUUAAACGUUGAACACAGAAACUCUCACAACUAUACUUAAA